rnacentral:rRNA from 1 species
CCUACGGGAGGCAGCAGUAAGGAAUAUUGGACAAUGGUCGCAAGACUGAUCCAGCCAUGCCGCGUGCAGGAUGACGGCCCUAUGGGUUGUAAACUGCUUUUAUACGGGAAAAAACCCCUCUACGUGUAGAGGGCUGAUUGUACUGUAAGAAUAAGGAUCGGCUAACUCCGUGCCAGCAGCCGCGGUAAUACGGAGGAUCCAAGCGUUAUCCGGAUUCAUUGGGUUUAAAGGGUGCGUAGGCGGAAUAAUAAGUCAGUGGUGAAAGCCCUCAGCUUAACUGAGGAACUGCCAUUGAUACUGUUAAUCUUGAGUAUAUUUGAUGUGGGCGGAAUGUGUCAUGUAGCGGUGAAAUGCUUAGAUAUGACACAGAACACCGAUUGCGAAGGCAGCUCACAAAACUAUAACUGACGCUGAGGCACGAAAGCGUGGGUAUCAAACAGGAUUAGAUACCCUGGUAGUCCACGCUGUAAACUAUGAUUACUCGAUGUUUGCGAUACACUGUAAGCGUCUAAGCGAAAGCGAUAAGUAAUCCACCUGGGGAGUACGCCGGCAACGGUGAAACGUCAAAUGAAUUGACGG